CGGGGUGUGGCGUAGCUGGCUAACGCGCCGUCAUGGGGUGGCGGAGAUCCUGAGUUCGAAUCUCAGCACCCCGACCU
rnacentral:tRNA from 1 species